AACGAACGCUGGCGGCAUGCCUAACACAUGCAAGUCGAACGAGACCUUCGGGUCUAGUGGCGCACGGGUGCGUAACGCGUGGGAACCUGCCCUUAGGUUCGGAAUCACUCCCCGAAAGGGGUGCUAAUACCGGUUAAUGUCUUCGGACCAAAGAUCUAUCGCCUUUGGAUGGGCCCGCGUUGGAUUAGCUAGUUGGUAGGGUAAAAGCCUACCAAGGCGACGAUGCAUAGCUGGUCUGAGAGGAUGAUCAGCCACGCUGGAACUGAGACACGGCCCAGACUCCUACGGGAGGCAGCAGUGUGGAAUAUUGGACGAUGGGCGAAAGCCUGAUCCAGCAAUGCCGGGUGAGUGAUGAAGGCCUUAGGGUUGUAAAGCUCUUUUACCCGGGAUGAUAAUGACAGUACCGGGAGAAUAAGCUCCGGCUAACUCCGUG
rnacentral:rRNA from 1 species